UGUCUUUCAUCAAUCUAUUAUCUUUGAUCUAUUGUCUUUCAUUUGUAUACUGUCUUCUGUUAAUCUAUUGUCUUUCAUUAUUCUAUUGUCUUUCAUUAAUCUAUUGUCUGUCAUUAAUCUAUUGUCUUUUAUCAAUCUUUUGUCUUUAAUCUAUUAUGUUUAAUCUAUUGUCUUACAUUAAUAUGUCUUUCAUUAAUCUAUUGUCUUUCAUCAAUCUAUUGUCUUUAAUCUAUUAUCUUUGAUCUAUUGUCUUUCAUUAUUAUACUGUCUUCUGUUAAUCUAUUGUCUUUCAUUCAUCUAUUGUCUUUAUACCUGAACAAAACACCUAAUAAGUGACCAUAUUCACUAAAGCUAAAGAUAAUAAUUAUAUUAGAUUAUUCAAAGAAACUAAGAACUCAAUGUCUUCAGAAAAUAAUGUAACAGCUAUUAUAUCAUCUCUCCUCAUGUCACUUUGACAGUGGUGUACAACUUAAAAUUAAUGCAUUCCAAAGGUGUCAUGUGAUAAAUGUAUACUUAAGUAUUUUUCCCUGGUCAAUAUUUUUUCAGGUUAAUAAAACCAUAUAUCAACCUAAUCAAAAGGCUAUAAUUGUAUCUAUGUAUUGUCAUGAGUGUGAUUUGUAUAUAUUUUUAGCAAAUCACUGUUUAUUCUCAAUCUUCAAAUAUGGGUUCCUCUGUAUUAAGUUGUGCUUAUUUGAUUUCGAGUCUGAUCCAGAUUACAAAACCACUGACACGAUCAGUCAUCCUUGAUUUUGACAGUUGAAGUCCUGGAAUUAUGAAUGAAGAAAAAGGGAAAGAAAUGAGAAGUAGAGAAAAGAUUUGUCUCUUAUCAAACUAAUAUACAUGUAUAUCAUUCAAUGGUGGGUGAUCCCUCCAUGAUCUCUUAUUUAUGUACAAGGUCUGAUGUUGUUGUAUUAUGUAAUUGUUGUAUUUGAAUGGUUUGAAUCAUUUACUGCAUAAUAUAUUCAUUUGCUUGCCCUUUUUUUCCUUUUUUUUUAUUAUUAUUAUUUUGGCAUUUAUACUAGUGAAUUUUAGGGCUCUGAUAUUUGAGUCCUGGAUCAAGUGGUUUCCUGUGAGACUCACGGAUUACCCACCAUGGUACAUUGUGUCACUGUGUAUAUAUAUCUCUUUACAUCAAAGGGUUUUAAAUUGUGUUGUGGACUUUAUUGAUAGAAUCUUACAAACCUUACCAUUUAAUAUUAACAUUUAUCAGCUUUUGACAUGAUUGUAAGACGUAGUAUAUUUUGCAAGGUAAAUCAUUUAUGUUUUUUUUUCUUUUUUUUUUGCUUUUAGUCAAAAAUCCUAAUUAAAAAAUAAUAUGCCUUGAUUAAUUGAUUUAAUUUACAAAAUUCACUCAUUGCAAAGCUGAUGAAAAAAAAUGUACAUUCAUUGUAACUAAGUAAGCAUGACAUUUUUGUAUUUUUUGUUUCAUGCAAUAUGUAAGUUUAAAGAACAACUGAUUUAGAUUUCAUUUGAAUACUGAAUGAACUCAUAUUUUGAUGGAAAUAUUCUUUUUUCAAUAUUCUAUUUUGAUAAAUAAAUUUUGAGAAAAUAUAA